GGGAAUCCAGGACAGGAUCAGAUCGGAGGAGGGACGAGACCAAGCGGGCGUGACCCUACAUGGAAAGGGAUAUGACUGCGUUUCAGGCUGCAAGCGCCAACUGAGACCUAGAGCCAAAAUGGAGGUCAAACUGAACGUCCUCAGCUGUCCCAGUGAACUUGAAGGCCCUCUGAGGACCCCCCAGGACCCCAGACAGAAGCCAUUUUAUCACAGCCCAAACCUAUCUGCCAUAUCAAGCCAGCGCUCUGAUCUGGAACAAUUACACCUUCAGGUGCCUGGGUCUCUGGGAUGAGCUUCGGCUGAGCAGCAGAAACAGCCCGUAAAACAGAGCCCUGAGUGGGGAGAGCAAGGAUCUGCCUCUGUGUGCGCUGAAAUUAGCGCUAAUUUAGCACCGUGCUAACAUCAUGCUAAUUUAGCACCGUGCUAACAUCGUGCUAAUUUAACAUUGUGCUAACACCGUGCUAAAACUGUGCUAAUUUAACACUGAG